rnacentral:lncRNA from 1 species
CACUGGAUGGGGAGAAAGUGUCUCAUCAAACCUGGAUGAACCUCUUGUGUUUCCUAGAUUAGGAAACACUAAUCUCUUCCAAGAUAAAUCCUCUCCAUGUGCGGCCACCAACUCCCAACCCAGAGACCCAAAUGCCUUAGACCCAAACUGACACGCUCUCAGGGUAACCUACAGAAUGAGCUCAAACUCCUCCUUGACCAGUGGCUCAUUUUCCACCAGGAAAGUGGGUCCUUUCCAGUGGCUGUCAUCCCGCUCCUGAACAAAAGGCUGAGAUGACCUGUGAAGUCUGCGUCCAGCCUGGUCCUUUUGUGCCAACAACUGGCCCCAGCUCUUCUCGUUUGUCCAGGUUAGACCUUUCUGCAUUUCUGCCCUUGGCAAAGCCUGUCGCUGCCCAGCCUUCAGGGCCCCAGAGCCUGUCCCCAGGCCUGGCAGGAAGUGCCCACGGAACAGGGUGGAUGCCUCUCUGCUGGCCCCACUUGAGUUGAGCUGAUGUUAGUCCAGGUCACCCACAGUGAGAGCCAGGAGAGGGAAUGAAUGUCAAGGCUUAAAAGCAGAAGCAACAUGGCUCCUUUGUGAUCUGGUGGCUCUCACCUGGAACAAAGAGGCCACUUGGGGGACUACAGCUGAGGCUGAAGCCCAGCUAAUGCCGAGAGAUCGCCAUUCAGACUCCACCUGUCAAUCACAGAUAGAGGACUGGAACCCGGUUCAGAGGGCCCAGGGCAGUGGAAAUGGUUCUGAGCCAUGAUGGCAAUCACGUGAGUUACCAUAAAGGCACCCUUCCUUCAAGAUGUUGAACUUGGGGUAGACUGCUGUCAGGGGAUACAGAAGAGCUCUUCCUAUUUAGACCUACCUGUCCCCCCCACCCCAAGUAUUUCAUUGUUCCCCAAGUAGCAAGGUUGUUUCCCCAAAUAAAACAUUUUAAAAAUGAAGUAGGUAAAAAUA